rnacentral:rRNA from 1 species
AGUGAACGCUGGCGGUAGGCCUAACACAUGCAAGUCGAACGGCAGCACAGUAAGAGCUUGCUCUUACGGGUGGCGAGUGGCGGACGGGUGAGGAAUACAUCGGAAUCUACUUUUUCGUGGGGGUUAACGUAGGGAAACUUACGCUAAUACCGCAUACGACCUACGGGUGAAAGCAGUGGAUCUUCGGACCUUGCGCGAUUGAAUGAGCCGAUGUCGGAUUAGCUAGUUGGCGGGGUAAAGGCCCACCCAGGCGACGAUCCGUAGCUGGUCUGAGAGGAUGAUCGGCCACACUGGAACUGAGAUACGGUCCAGACUCCUACGGGAGGCAGCAGUGGGGAAUAUUGGACAAUGGGCGCAAGCCUGAUCCAGCCAUACCGCGUGGGUGAAGAAGGCCUUCGGGUUGUAAAGCCCUUUUGUUGGGAAAGAAAAGCAGCAGGUUAAUACCCCGCUGUUCUGACGGUACCCAAAGAAUAAGCACCGGCUAACUUCGUG